rnacentral:rRNA from 1 species
UAACGCGUGAGCAGCCUUUCCCAGACAGGGGAAUAACACACCGAAAGGUGUACUAAUACCGCAUAAGACCACGGGAUCACAUGGUUCUGGGGUAAAAGAUUUAUCGGUUUGGGGUGGGCUCGCGUCCGAUUAGGUAGUUGGUGAGGUAACGGCCCACCAAGCCGGCGAUCGGUAGCCGACCUGAGAGGGUGAUCGGCCACAUUGGGACUGAGACACGGUCCAAACUCCUACGGGAGGCAGCAGUGGGGAAUAUUGGGCAAUGGAGGAAACUCUGACCCAGCAACGCCGCGUGGAGGAAGAAGGUUUUCGGAUCGUAAACUCCUGUCCUUGGAGACGAGUAGAAGACGGUAUCCAAGGAGGAAGCCCCGGCUAACUACGUGCCAGCAGCCGCGGUAAUACGUAGGGGGCAAGCGUUGUCCGGAAUAAUUGGGCGUAAAGGGCGCGUAGGCGGCUCGGUAAGUCUGGAGUGAAAGUCCUGCUUUUAAGGUGGGAAUUGCUUUGGAUACUGUCGGGCUUGAGUGCAGGAGAGGUUAGUGGAAUUCCCAGUGUAGCGGUGAAAUGCGUAGAGAUUGGGAGGAACACCAGUGGCGAAGGCGACU